CCUACGGGCGGCAGCAGUGGGGAAUUUUGCGCAAUGGGCGAAAGCCUGACGCAGCGACGCCGCGUGAGGGAUGAAGGUCUUCGGAUCGUAAACCUCUGUCAGCAGGGAAGAAAGUUCAUUGAGGUAACCGUCUGUGUAUUGACGGUACCUGCAAAGGCAGCACCGGCUAACUCCGUGCCAGCAGCCGCGGUAAUACGGAGGGGGCGAGCGUUAUUCGGAUUUACUGGGCGUAAAGAGCACGUAGGCGGUGUGUCAAGUCAUGGGUGAAAGCCCCGCGCUCAACGUGGGAAAGGCCUUUGAAACUGGCAAACUGGAGUGUGUGAGAGGAGAGUGGAAUUCCAGGUGUAGGGGUGAAAUCCGUAGAUAUCAGGAGGAACAUCAGUAGCGAAGGCGACUAUCUGGCACGUAACUGACGCUGAGGAGCGAAAGCGUGGGUAGCAAACAGGAUUAGAUACCCCUGUAGUC
rnacentral:rRNA from 1 species